UGAAAAACCUUGAAAGGGAAAAGUAAGUAUAAGAGAUGUCCAAAAGAGAGCAGGGGCAGCUGAAAACCUGCGGAUAAUUGUAUACCGAAACUCACCCUGGAGUUGCAGACUGAAUUAAGUAGGUUGUGCCGGCAUGUAGCCGUUAUAUAAAUUAAGUAAUAAAUUGGGUGGUACCGCGAAACAGUCUCCUCGCCCCAGGA
rnacentral:ncRNA from 1 species